rnacentral:rRNA from 1 species
UAGGGAAUCUUCCGCAAUGGACGCAAGUCUGACGGAGCAACGCCGCGUGAGUGAAGAAGGAUUUCGGUUCGUAAAACUCUGUUGUUAGAGAAGAACAGCGCAUAGAGUAACUGUUAUGCGUGUGACGGUAUCUAACCAGAAAGCCACGGCUAACUACGUGCCAGCAGCCGCGGUAAUACGUAGGUGGCAAGCGUUGUCCGGAUUUAUUGGGCGUAAAGCGAGCGCAGGCGGUCAAUUAAGUCUGAUGUGAAAGCCCCCGGCUCAACCGGGGAGGGUCAUUGGAAACUGGUUGACUUGAGUGCAGAAGAGGAGAGUGGAAUUCCAUGUGUAGCGGUGAAAUGCGUAGAUAUAUGGAGGAACACCAGUGGCGAAGGCGACUCUCUGGUCUGUAACUGACGCUAAGGCUCGAAAGCGUGGGUAGCAAACAGG